CCGGCGAUGUCCGAAUGGGGAAACCCAGUGCAAUUCGUUGCACUAUCGUUAACUGAAUACAUAGGUUAACGAGGCGAACCGGGGGAACUGAAACAUCUAAGUACCCCGAGGAAAAGAAAUCAACCGAGAUUCCCCCAGUAGCGGCGAGCGAACGGGGAGCAGCCCAGAGUCUGAAUCAGCUUGUGUGUUAGUGGAACGGUCUGGAAAGUCCGACGGUACAGGGUGAUAGUCCCGUACACCAAAAUGCACAGGUUGUGAACUCGAAGAGUAGGGCGGGACACGUGGUAUCCUGUCUGAAUAUGGGGGGACCAUCCUCCAAGGCUAAAUACUCCUGACUGACCGAUAGUGAACCAGUACCGUGAGGGAAAGGCGAAAAGAACCCCGGCGAGGGGAGUGAAAAAGAACCUGAAACCGUGUACGUACAAGCAGUGGGAGCACCUUCGGGUGUGACUGCGUACCUUUUGUAUAAUGGGUCAGCGACUUAUAUUCUGUAGCAAGGUUAACCGUAUAGGGGAGCCGCAGGGAAACCGAGUCUUAACUGGGCGUUAAGUUGCAGGGUAUAGACCCGAAACCCGGUGAUCUAGCCAUGGGCAGGUUGAAGGUUGGGUAACACUAACUGGAGGACCGAACCGACUAAUGUUGAAAAAUUAGCGGAUGACUUGUGGCUGGGGGUGAAAGGCCAAUCAAACCGGGAGAUAGCUGGUUCUCCCCGAAAGCUAUUUAGGUAGCGCCUCGUGAAUUCAUCUUCGGGGGUAGAGCACUGUUUCGGCUAGGGGGUCAUCCCGACUUACCAACCCGAUGCAAACUACGAAUACCGAAGAAUGUUAUCACGGGAGACACACGGCGGGUGCUAACGUCCGUCGUGAAGAGGGAAACAACCCAGACCGCCAGCUAAGGUCCCAAAGUCAUGGUUAAGUGGGAAACGAUGUGGGAAGGCACAGACAGCCAGGAUGUUGGCUUAGAAGCAGCCAUCAUUUAAAGAAAGCGUAAUAGCUCACUGGUCGAGUCGGCCUGCGCGGAAGAUGUAACGGGGCUAAACCAUGCACCGAAGCUGCGGCAGCGACACUAUGUGUUGUUGGGUAGGGGAGCGUUCUGUAAGCCUGCGAAGGUGACCUGUGAGGGUUGCUGGAGGUAUCAGAAGUGCGAAUGCUGACAUAAGUAACGAUAAAGCGGGUGAAAAGCCCGCUCGCCGGAAGACCAAGGGUUCCUGUCCAACGUUAAUCGGGGCAGGGUGAGUCGACCCCUAAGGCGAGGCCGAAAGGCGUAGUCGAUGGGAAACAGGUUAAUAUUCCUGUACUUGGUGUUACUGCGAAGGGGGGACGGAGAAGGCUAUGUUAGCCGGGCGACGGUUGUCCCGGUUUAAGCAUGUAGGCUGGUUGUCCAGGCAAAUCCGGAUAAUCAAGGCUGAGGUGUGAUGACGAGGCACUACGGUGCUGAAGUAACAAAUGCCCUGCUUCCAGGAAAAGCCUCUAAGCAUCAGGUAACAUCAAAUCGUACCCCAAACCGACACAGGUGGUCAGGUAGAGAAUACCAAGGCGCUUGAGAGAACUCGGGUGAAGGAACUAGGCAAAAUGGUGCCGUAACUUCGGGAGAAGGCACGCUGGUGUGUAGGUGAAGUCCCUGCGGAUGGAGCUGAGACCAGUCGAAGAUACCAGCUGGCUGCAACUGUUUAUUAAAAACACAGCACUGUGCAAACACGAAAGUGGACGUAUACGGUGUGACGCCUGCCCGGUGCCGGAAGGUUAAUUGAUGGGGUUAUCCGUAAGGAGAAGCUCUUGAUCGAAGCCCCGGUAAACGGCGGCCGUAACUAUAACGGUCCUAAGGUAGCGAAAUUCCUUGUCGGGUAAGUUCCGACCUGCACGAAUGGCGUAAUGAUGGCCAGGCUGUCUCCACCCGAGACUCAGUGAAAUUGAACUCGCUGUGAAGAUGCAGUGUACCCGCGGCAAGACGGAAAGACCCCGUGAACCUUUACUAUAGCUUGACACUGAACAUUGAGCCUUGAUGUGUAGGAUAGGUGGGAGGCUUUGAAGCGUGGACGCCAGUCUGCGUGGAGCCAACCUUGAAAUACCACCCUUUAAUGUUUGAUGUUCUAACGUUGGCCCCUUACCGGGGUUGCGGACAGUGUCUGGUGGGUAGUUUGACUGGGGCGGUCUCCUCCCAAAGCGUAACGGAGGAGCACGAAGGUUAGCUAAUCCUGGUCGGACAUCAGGAGGUUAGUGCAAUGGCAUAAGCUAGCUUGACUGCGAGCGUGACGGCGCGAGCAGGUGCGAAAGCAGGUCAUAGUGAUCCGGUGGUUCUGAAUGGAAGGGCCAUCGCUCAACGGAUAAAAGGUACUCCGGGGAUAACAGGCUGAUACCGCCCAAGAGUUCAUAUCGACGGCGGUGUUUGGCACCUCGAUGUCGGCUCAUCACAUCCUGGGGCUGAAGUAGGUCCCAAGGGUAUGGCUGUUCGCCAUUUAAAGUGGUACGCGAGCUGGGUUUAGAACGUCGUGAGACAGUUCGGUCCCUAUCUGCCGUGGGCGCUGGAGAAUUGAGGGGGGCUGCUCCUAGUACGAGAGGACCGGAGUGGACGCAUCACUGGUGUUCGGGUUGUCAUGCCAAUGGCACUGCCCGGUAGCUAAAUGCGGAAGAGAUAAGUGCUGAAAGCAUCUAAGCACGAAACUUGCCCCGAGAUGAGUUCUCCCUGAGACUUUAAGUCUCCUGAAGGAACGUUAAAGACGAUGACGUUGAUAGGCCGGGUGUGUAAGCGCAGCGAUGCGUUGAGCUAACCGGUACUAAUGAACCGUGAGGCUUAACCUUACAACGCCGAAG
rnacentral:rRNA from 1 species